GAAGGAGGCUGGGCACUGGGAGUCUCUCUGGGAGGAGGCCGGGCACUGGGAGGCUGGGAGUCUCUCUGGAAGGAGGCUGGGCACUGGGAGUCUCUCUGGAAGGAGGCUGGGCACUGGGAGGCUGGGAGUCUCUCUGGAAGGAGGCUGGGCACUGGGAGUCUCUCUGGGAGGAGGCCGGGCACUGGGAGGCUGGGAGUCUCUCUGGAAGGAGGCCGGGCACUGGGAGUCUCUCUGGUAGGAGGCCAGG
rnacentral:lncRNA from 1 species